UCAUACGAGCGCAACCCUUGUCCUUAGUUGCCAACAGGUAAAGCUGGGAACUCUAAGGAGACUGCCGGUGAUAAGCCGGAGGAAGGUGGGGAUGACGUCAAGUCCUCAUGGCCCUUACGGGUAGGGCUACACACGUGCUACAAUGGGCGGUACAAAGGGAAGCGAAAUCGCAGGGUGGAGCGGAUCUUUUUAAAGCCGCUCGUACUCCGGAUUGGAGUCUGCAACUCGACUCCAUGAAGUUGGAAUCGCUAGUAAUCGCGGAUCAAAACGCCGCGGUGAAUACGUUCCCGGGCCUU
rnacentral:rRNA from 1 species